rnacentral:rRNA from 1 species
AACGAACGCUGGCGGCAGGCCUAACACAUGCAAGUCGAACGCCCGUAGCAAUACGGGAGUGGCAGACGGGUGAGUAACGCGUGGGAACGUGCCCUUCGGUUCGGAAUAACUCAGGGAAACUUGAGCUAAUACCGGAUACGUCCGUAAGGAGAAAGAUUUAUCGCCGAAGGAUCGGCCCGCGUCGGAUUAGCUAGUUGGUGAGGUAACGCCCACAAGGCGACGAUCCGUAGCUGGUCUGAGAGGANGAUCAGCCACACUGGACUGAGACACGGCCCAGACUCCUACGGGAGGCAGCAGUAGGAAUAUUGCGCAAUGGGCGAAAGCCUGACGCAGCGACGCCGCGU